UACGUAGGGGGCGAGCGUUGUCCGGAGUUACUGGGCGUAAAGCGCACGCAGGCGGUCUGUUACGUUUGGAGUGACAGUUGGUGGCUUAACUGCCAAAGUGCUUCGAAAACUGACAGACUUGAGGGCUUCAGAGGGACACGGAAUUCCGGGUGGAGUGGUGAAAUGCGUGGAGAUCCGGAGGAACACCAAAGGCGAAGGCAGUGUCCUGGGGAGUACCUGACGCUCAGGUGCGAAAGCCAGGGGAGCGAACGGG
rnacentral:rRNA from 1 species